rnacentral:rRNA from 1 species
AGUGAACGCUGGCGGUAGGCCUAACACAUGCAAGUCGAACGGCAGCACAGUAAGAGCUUGCUCUUACGGGUGGCGAGUGGCGGACGGGUGAGGAAUACAUCGGAAUCUACUUUUUCGUGGGGGAUAACGUAGGGAAACUUACGCUAAUACCGCAUACGACCUACGGGUGAAAGCAGGGGAUCUUCGGACCUUGCGCGAUUGAAUGAGCCGAUGUCGGAUUAGCUAGUUGGCGGGGUAAAGGCCCACCAAGGCGACGAUCCGUAGCUGGUCUGAGAGGAUGGUCAGCCACACGGGAACGGAGACACGGUCCAGACUCCUACGGGAGGCAGCAGUGGGGAAUAUUGGACAAUGGGCGCAAGCCUGAUCCAGCCAUACCGCGUGGGUGAAGAAGGCCUUCGGGUUGUAAAGCCCUUUUGUUGGGAAAGAAAAGCAGCAGGUUAAUACCCCGCUGUUCCGACGGUACCCAAAGAAUAAGCACCGGCUAACUUCGUG